GGGGGUGUUUCAGAUUCGACUUGCCCGCGGAGGGAUGGUAAGCAUGCCGGUUCCCCGUUACCGUAAAAAACAGGAAAAAAAAUAAACGACAAUCAAAAAGUCAAUUACGCUUACGCCGCUUAGUGCGUAGCCGUCGUGACCGCAACGCCCACGGGUGCGGGAGCGGCGUGUCCUUACGUGGGGAACCGAGUUCGGGUUUGGUACGCCCCGAAAACGGAACGCAGUACCUCAGGAAUGGCCGAGCGCGUUUGUACGCAACGCCGGACGACAAUUAAAUGCAAACUGAGCAUGAUAGAAAGCCGUCUUUUAACGAGUAAGGACCGGGGUGCAAGUCCCCGCAUCUCCACCA
rnacentral:tmRNA from 1 species